AUCAAAACAGUGAUACGUGCCUUGCGAGUCGCGAACUAAAACUUUUGCAAUCUACAGGAGAGUCAGUUCCGAGAAAUCUAAUCAUAGCAAACAACUUCGCGUACGUCAUGUCACACAACAGGUAACGUAACACUGUUCGGAUACGUUUGAGUCAUAUAUUGAUUCGGUCCAAACUGAUUCUUACGAAUUAUCCUUUUAAUACAGCAAGCAGUAUUAAAAUAGUUAUACAUUUAGAUAAAUUACUCAAACAUUAGUUUUGCUCCCCGAGAAUCUCGGUGCUUCCCGAAACGAAGUCAAACAAAAUGUAUUUCGGUUACGUUGGCAGGAAAUCAGUUAUAGUUUUGGCGCCGUUUUUUCUCGUGCAGUUACAACGCAACAGCACAAGAAAAGAACAUCUAACCUAAUCUAAUUUAGGCCUUAGAGAUUUCUGACGCGUCAGGUUCUCUUGAGCCAGGAGUUGAAUAUUUUUGUCAUUUUCUCGCGACUGCUGACCGAAUGUACAUUGACUGUGGGCACGAUCUUGGUAGGUCGGGUGAACUGGACAAAGCGCUUCAUUUCCUCGUAGCUGCUGUGUUCACUGUACGGUACACCUG